UCGAGCGGACAGAAGGGAGCUUGCUCCCGGAUGUUAGCGGCGGACGGGUGAGUAACACGUGGGUAACCUGCCUGUAAGACUGGGAUAACUCCGGGAAACCGGAGCUAAUACCGGAUAGUUCCUUGAACCGCAUGGUUCAAGGAUGAAAGACGGUUUCGGCUGUCACUUACAGAUGGACCCGCGGCGCAUUAGCUAGUUGGUGAGGUAACGGCUCACCAAGGCGACGAUGCGUAGCCGACCUGAGAGGGUGAUCGGCCACACUGGGACUGAGACACGGCCCAGACUCCUACGGGAGGCAGCAGUAGGGAAUCUUCCGCAAUGGACGAAAGUCUGACGGAGCAACGCCGCGUGAGUGAUGAAGGUUUUCGGAUCGUAAAGCUCUGUUGUUAGGGAAGAACAAGUGCAAGAGUAACUGCUUGCACCUUGACGGUACCUAACCAGAAAGCCACGGCUAACUACGUGCCAGCAGCCGCGGUAAUACGUAGGUGGCAAGCGUUGUCCGGAAUUAUUGGGCGUAAAGGGCUCGCAGGCGGUUUCUUAAGUCUGAUGUGAAAGCCCCCGGCUCAACCGGGGAGGGUCAUUGGAAACUGGGAAACUUGAGUGCAGAAGAGGAGAGUGGAAUUCCACGUGUAGCGGUGAAAUGCGUAGAGAUGUGGAGGAACACCAGUGGCGAAGGCGACUCUCUGGUCUGUAACUGACGCUGAGGAGCGAAAGCGUGGGGGAGCGAACAGGAUUAGAUACCCUGGUAGUCCACGCCGUAAACGAUGAGUGCUAAGUGUUAGGGGGUUUCCGCCCCUUAGUGCUGCAGCUAACGCAUUAAGCACUCCGCCUGGGGGAGUACGGUCGCAAGACUGAAACUCAAAGGAAUUGACGGGGGGCC
rnacentral:rRNA from 1 species